ACGGAGGGUGCAAGCGUUGUUCGGAAUUACUGGGCGUAAAGCGCGCGUAGGCGGUCUGUUAUGUCAGGUGUGAAAGUCCAUGGCUCAACCAUGGAAGUGCAUUUGAAACUGACAGACUUGAGUACUGGAGGGGGUGGUGGAAUUCCCGGUGUAGAGGUGAAAUUCGUAGAUAUCGGGAGGAAUACCGGUGGCGAAGGCGACCACCUGGCCAGAUACUGACGCUGAGGUGCGAAAGCGUGGGGAGCAAACAGG
rnacentral:rRNA from 1 species